GAAAAAUAAUUAAAAAAAAAGUUGUUCUCUCUAUUCUUCUCUUCGUCUUCUCCGACGACUCCGACGACUCCAUAUUCAUAAAUUCAUAAGGCUAUCCCAAAAACAAAGCACAAAACUUUUGCCUCUACUCAAUACUCAUCUCUCUCUCAAUUCUCUGAUUAGGGUUUUUUCAUAAACACGAAAAAAGGGUCUUUUUUCUUUCACUAAUCUCUCAUGGCUUCUCCCUCUUUUGAUUGGAAAAUUUAAAAUCUUUUAGGAAUUGAUAGUGGCAAAAUUUUAAAUUGGUUGAUUUUGGUCAUAAAACAACAAAUCUCCGGCGAAAUCAUCAUCAUCCCUGGCGAUGAAGACGACGGCUCCAGGAGAAUCUUGAGCGUUGAACAACCACCACCACAUCUUAUAAUGGCAAAUGCGAUCACAUUCUUCGAGCUCAACACCGGCGUUAAGUUCCCGUCGGUGGGUCUUGGAACAUGGCAAGCUUCUCCUGGCCUCGUCGGCGAUGCCGUAGCCGCCGCUGUUAAGGUUCGCCAUUCUUAAUUUGGAACCUAUUUGCUUCCGAUCUCUUUUAGAUUCAUUAGUUUGAUGAUUCCAUACUCUGUUUGAAUUAGAUUUUUUUUGGUUAUGCUUCAACUAGUUUAAUCUUAAUCCUAAUUGUAUUUUGGCUAUCGUCAUAUUGAUUGCGCUCAGAUCUAUGGCAACGAAAAAGAGGUAAAAAAACACAGAUGUUUAAAUUAGCUAAGCUGAAAAUUCUUUUUUGUUGUAUGAGUUUUUUGUGGAGAAGCCAUGGGCGAUGAAGACGACGGCGACGUCGUUUGUAACAGGAGAGAGAGUUGUAGUAGCAGUCGUAGUUUAUUGUAUCCUCUUAUCUCUUCCUUUAUCACUAAUCUCCCAUGGCCUGCGGCGGAUCUUGUCAUGGCUCCAGAUCGACGGUGGAUUUGGAAGAUUCGACUUGAAUCGGUGGAUUUUGAUUCUGGAGAAAAGCUUUGAAUCCGAAGCUUGUUUGCUUCAGAUCCUCCAUAGUUUUUUCAAUGUCUCUGUUUAUUCUCUGUAUGAAUCUUAGUAUCGAGAAGAAGAGGAUAAGGACGCAGAAACCGUAUUUGGCUUGCUAAUAUACAGCCUGGAACGUUUGUAUCGAGUUGUUGAGAAACCUGCAAGAGCAACUGACGAGUGGGAUUUAUAAGUUUUUACUUUGAUCCCAUCAAUUAGCUUAUUAAAUUGAGGCUGCCAUUAGCUUUCAGUUUAUCAUAAGUCCAAUAUUUGUUAAAGUGGUUAUGUGUGUGCUUGAACUUACUGAUGUGUUUUUUUAUAUAAACAGAGUGAAACAAGAUCUGAUUGAGUUAGGAAGGCCACAGCAGCAAACAUCAUACAAGCUAACAGUGACACAACGACUAGUAACGGUUUAUGACUGCUUGCUUCCCACUCGCAAGCGACAAUAACUCAUCUCGGGUUUUUAAUCUGCUUUAUGAAUUGCCGAAUUUAUUCAAUCAUUCCUCCAGAAAUACUUGCUUGAGGCCCACUUUAGAGUUUUUUCCUUGAAAUGGUAAAACAAAGUUACACAUAGGAGAUAGUUUUGAAAUUCAUGAUCUGUGCUGCAAUUUAAGAUAUCAAAACCUGUUUUGUGUUCUUGUAUGCUUUGGCUCGUCCCAUGUACGGUGAGUCGAGAUGAGAUAUUUUAUGUCAAGGCUAAAACAAAUAAAAUCAACUUGUGCCAAUAUAUACUCUACAAUGCUAUUCCUUUGGUUUAAGCAGAUUAUGUUUUGAUCUGUAUCACUACUUAGUAAAAAGAUUGGGAUUGAUUUUCACUCCAUUUUCACUCAA